AUACGUAGGGGGCGAGCGUUGUCCGGAAUGAUUGGGCGUAAAGGGCGCGUAGGCGGCCUGUUAAGUCUGGAGUGAAAGUCCUGUUUUCAAGAUGGGAAUUGCUUUGGAUACUGAUGGGCUUGAGUGCAGGAGAGGUUAUCGGAAUUCCCGGUGUAGCGGUGAUAAGCGUAGAGAUCGGGAGGAACACCAGUGGCGAAGGUGGGUAACUGAACUGCUACUGACGCUGAGGCGCGAAAGUGUUUGGAGCAAACAGAAUGAGAUACCCUGGUAGUCCACACUAUAAACGAUGAAUGCUAGAUGAAGGAGGUAUCGACCCCUUUUGUGCCGGAGUUGACACAAUUAGCAUACCCCCUGUGGGGUACGGCAGCAACGCUGAGUCUCGAAGGCAUUGACUGGG
rnacentral:rRNA from 1 species